rnacentral:rRNA from 1 species
CGAACGAUGAAGCCGGAGCUUGCUCUGGUGGAUUAGUGGCGAACGGGUGAGUAACACGUGAGUAACCUGCCCUUGACUCUGGGAUAAGCGUUGGAAACGACGUCUAAUACCGGAUACGAGCUGAGACCGCAUGGUCAUUAGCUGGAAAGAACUUCGGUCAAGGAUGGACUCGCGGCCUAUCAGUUAGUUGGUGAGGUAAUGGCUCACCAAGACGACGACGGGUAGCCGGCCUGAGAGGGUGACCGGCCACACUGGGACUGAGACACGGCCCAGACUCUACGGGAGGCAGCAGUGGGGAAUAUUGCACAAUGGGCGAAAGCCUGAUGCAGCAACGCCGCGUGAGGGACGACGGCCUUCGGGUUGUAAACCUCUUUUAGCAGGGAAGAAGCGAAAGUGACGGUACCUGCAGAAAAAGCACCGGCUAACUACGUGCCAGCAGCCGCGGUAAUACGUAGGGUGCAAGCGUUGUCCGGAAUUAUUGGGCGUAAAGAGCUCGUAGGCGGUUUGUCGCGUCUGCUGUGAAAACGCGAGGCUCAACCUCGCGCCUGCAGUGGGUACGGGCAGACUAGAGUGCGGUAGGGGAGAUUGGAAUUCCUGGUGUAGCGGUGGAAUGCGCAGAUAUCAGGAGGAACACCAAUGGCGAAGGCAGAUCUCUGGGCCGUAACUGACGCUGAGGAGCGAAAGCAUGGGGAGCGAACAGGAUUAGAUACCCUGGUAGUCCAUGCCGUAAACGUUGGGAACUAGAUGUAGGGACCAUUCCACGGUUUCUGUGUCGCAGUUAACGCAUUAAGUUUCCCGCCUGGGGAGUACGGUCGCAAGACUAAAACUCAAAGGAAUUGACGGGGGCCCGCACAAGCGGCGGAGCAUGCGGAUUAAUUCGAUGCAACGCGAAGAACCUUACCAAGGCUUGACAUAUACGAGAACGGGCUAGAAAUAGUCAACUCUUUGGACACUCGUAAACAGGUGGUGCAUGGUUGUCGUCAGCUCGUGUCGUGAGAUGUUGGGUUAAGUCCCGCAACGAGCGCAACCCUCGUCCUAUGUUGCCAGCACGUUAUGGUGGGAACUCAUGGGAGACUGCCGGGGUCAACUCGGAGGAAGGUGGGGAUGACGUCAAAUCAUCAUGCCCCUUAUGUCUUGGGCUUCACGCAUGCUACAAUGGCCGGUACAAAGGGCUGCAAUACCGUAAGGUGGAGCGAAUCCCAAAAAGCCGGUCUCAGUUCGGAUUGAGGUCUGCAACUCGACCUCAUGAAGUUGGAGUCGCUAGUAAUC